AGAAAGCACCAUUGCAGCAAAGCAAACAUCCUUCUCUGCGCCUAAUCCUGGCAUGUUUGAAGAUAAGAAUUAGCCUAUGAUCGUGGCAUGAAAGAAUCUCCAAUUGCUGUCCCACAAGUUGUGGAGGAAAUACAAGAACAAAAGGAACGGCAAAAAGGUAAUCCUCGACCGUCCAGUUUGUUCAGCCAAGACGAGACAGAACGAAGUGAAACAAGUCAAACUCAAGAUCGGCUGCUUUUCGAUAGUUUAAUGGAUAAAUGUAUGUCAUUUGGACAUUUGUGGCUGCAUGCUGCAGACACUGGCUGCUC